AACGCCCACAGCCUCUGGAUGGCGCGUGGCAAGUGAGCCGGCCAAAUUAUUUCCAAUGGCUCCCCCGUCACACUCCCACCCUUCGUCACAGUGUACGCGCCCAUACCGCCGCAAUACCGUUUCAGAACCACGAUGCCAUUCCAACGUGUUUUUCCCUCCCACGCGCUGUGUAAUUAUGCCCGGGCGUCGGCGGUAAUCGUCAGCAUCUGUCUUCGUCCUCGCCGGUCGACAGCCACCACAACGCCGGGCUGGCCCACAGCCCCCCCGUUGCCACUGAAGGCCGUUAUUUAUAGUUUCCGUCACCGUCACGCGCUAUCUGAACCGGACCAGUGCACGAUAGAUGAAGAGGAAAACGUCUGCCUCUCCCGCACCAAUCUUUAUUCUAUUUCUGCCUCCCCCCCCCCCCCCUCCCUCCUCCUCCUCCUCCCAGCUGUCUGUGCGUCUGCUGAUGUCCACAGUCAGUCGUCGGAGGCGGGCAUGGCGCGCGGGCGCGUGCUAAGUGCUGCGGUUUAUGAGAUAGCAACCGUGCAGCCUUGGAGAUGGAUGUGUCAGGUUGUUAGCCUAGCUAAUUGGUAGAUAUUGGAUGAACUGCUGCUGUAUGUCACCCAGCCUUUCGACGGCGUGCUCCUCGGCUGACAGGGGGGGGGGACCCCGAGUGGGAUGUUCUCAAUAAGAGCCAUGUGUCACGUUAAAUCACAGCCCCCUGUCUUCUGCGCCGGCGGUGCUAAGGGUGCAGACGCUCCAUCCAGACGUCGUCAUCACACGGUUGAACAUGUGUACGCCCCCCGGGGAUGAUUUAGACCCCAGUCAGGGCUGAAUGUUGUAGCACGUUAAAGACCAGGGUCGACACGUUGAAGACGAAUGAUCUAGAGGAGGCCAGAGACAGCAUUGUGGAAUUCAAAGGAGGUUGACGAUGAGGCCUUCACCUCUAGACCAUACAUAAAGGUCUGACCAGGCUUGACCUUACAUGCACGUUUGAUGCAGAUUUAGGUAGGACUUUAAGUUUGAUUCUGUAUUGUGAUAUUUUGCCUGUUGGGUUGCUCGAUUGUUUGUUAGCCAAUUGGUAGAUUGUUUAGAUCAUUGGGUACAGGGUUUGUUGGUUGGUUGGAAGGUCAGCCCGAUUGUUGAUAUCUUGCUUUAAAAAAGAAUUCACAAAAAUAUGAACAGUUACUAACAUUAAUAUAUUCCUAUAUUAGUUGUAAAGUUACGAAUGUGACCAAUCUUUCCUAAAAUAAGUACUUACUAAGAGAAAUAGUUACACAUAGCUAGUCCAAGGUGGAUUCUCUGCUGAGAUAUGUAGUAACUCAUGUAACUGGACUCUGUGGUGGAUGUGUAGGCUAAGACGUGUAGUUACUCACGCCUCUCGUGUUUGUCAAUGCUAAGUAAUGUAGAGAAACGUAUGCAAACAAUAGACUCUGUAGUGGACGUCGAUGCUAAGCACUGGCUGGGUUCUGGUGAAAUGAGAGAGAGAUCCAUCUCCUUGUAGUGUCUAGCUGUUACACCAUUGAUAGAAGCUAUACACAAACAGACACACACACACACACACACACACACACACACACACACACACACACACACACACACACACACACACACACACACACACACACACACACACACACACACACACACACAAGCCCAGGAAGCACAUUAAUGACAAUUCUGCUUACUCUUUAACAACCAUGCACACAAACACAUCUAAAAACACAGACACAAACACCUCUGUGCGGUGCCUUUAGCAAAUUGUCCUAUGUACAAAAGCACACACACAGAAACACACACACACACACACACACACACGCACACGCACACGCACACGCACACGCACACGCACACGCACACACACACACACACACACACACACACACACACACACACACACACAUUUCUCCAGUGUCAGCAGUAAUUCUCACCUCACACAUCUUCCAACAGCCAUCCCCCUCCCUCUCCUCCUCCUUCCCAUUCCCUAGAACAUCAGAGAGGGAAAGAGACACCGAGGGAGGGAGAGAGAGGGAGCGCAAAGGAGUGAAACAGCCACAGUUAAAUAGAGAGAGGAGUUGCUGCGGUUUCCAUUACACUGGAUCAAAAUGUGUGUGCGGAAGUGUGUGUGUGUGUGUGUGUGUGUGUGUGUGUGUGUGUGUGUGUGUGUGUGUGUGUGUGUGUGUGUGUGUGUGUGUGUGUUUCUGUGUGUGUGUGUGUUUCUGUGUGUGUGUGUGUGUGUGUGUGUGUGUGUGUGUGUGUGUGUGUGUGUGUGUGUGUGUGUGUGUGUGUGUGUGUGUGUGUGUGUGUGUGUGUGUGUGUGUGUGUGUGUGUGUGUGUGGGGGGGGGUGGGUGUGUGUGUGUGUGUGUGUGUGUGUGUGUGUGUGUGUGUGUGUGUGUGUGUGUGUGUGUGUGUGUGUGUGUGUGUGUGUGUGUGUGUGUGUGUGUGUGUGUGUGUGUGUGUGUGUGUGUGUGGGGGUGGGUG